UCUCGCUGUGACUGAAAGACCAUAUUGUGGAAAUGGUAUAGUGGAAAAGGGGGAGGCCUGUGACUGUGGUCUUCCAUUCUACUGCAAGACUAGAGAUCCCUGCUGCACCCCCAGAGCUGGUGGAACACUUGCUUCUGAUGCUCUUCACAAGGAAGGUUGCUCGGUAGCGCCACGUGCAAACUGUCAUCCAUCUCAGGGCCUCUGUUGCAACGCAGACUGUCACUAUGCUAACUUCACAAAGAGUGGCAUCGACUGUACGCGUCAAGCGGAAACCUGUACAUGCCCAGACCUUAAGAAUUGUAGAUGUGGUCUUGGUGGACGCUGUUUGCCAGACGGAACUUGUCAAGCUGCAGAAUGCGCUGUUCUCGGACUAAG